GACGAACGCUGGCGGCGUGCUUAACACAUGCAAGUCGAACGGAAAGGCCCUGCUUUUGUGGGGUGCUCGAGUGGCGAACGGGUGAGUAACACGUGAGUAACCUGCCCUUGACUUUGGGAUAACUUCAGGAAACUGGGGCUAAUACCGGAUAGGAGCUCCUGCUGCAUGGUGGGGGUUGGAAAGUUUCGGCGGUUGGGGUUGGACUCGCGGCUUAUCAGCUUGUUGGUGGGGUAGUGGCUUACCAAGGCUUUGACGGGUAGCCGGCCUGAGAGGGUGACCGGCCACAUUGGGACUGAGAUACGGCCCAGACUCCUACGGGAGGCAGCAGUGGGGAAUAUUGCACAAUGGGCGGAAGCCUGAUGCAGCAACGCCGCGUGCGGGAUGACGGCCUUCGGGUUGUAAACCGCUUUCGCCUGUGACGAAGCGUGAGUGACGGUAAUGGGUAAAGAAGCACCGGCUAACUACGUG
rnacentral:rRNA from 1 species